ensembl:lncRNA
UUUUCUAGAAAGGGUUGCUCCCACGGCAUUUGGAGGUUCCCAGGCUAGGGGUCUAAUCAGAGCUGUAGCCACCGGCCUACACCAGAGCCACAGCAACGCGGGAUCUGAGCCGUGUCCUCGACCUACACCACAGCUCACAGCAACGCCGGAUCCUUAACCCACUGAGCAAGGCCAGGGAAAGAACCCGCAACCUCAUGGUUCCUAGUCGGAUUUGUUAACCACUGAGCCACUAUGGGAACUCCAAUAUAUAUUCUUGAUAAUAAUCAUUUGACAGUAUAUAUACUGUCAAUAUUUCCUGGUGAGUGGCUGGUGUUUUCCUUUCAUGAACCUGUCUUGUGAUCUAGUGAAUUUAUCUGAAAAAUAGGAACAAUGACACUGCUCUUCUCCAUUUCCCCGCCCCCAGCUGGUCUCCUCACCCAUCUUUCCACUGUGGCCAUUGUCAUCUUGUUAAAAAUGUACAUCUGGAGUUCCCGUCGUGGCGCAGUGGUUAUCGAAUCCGACUAGGAACCAUGAGGUUGAGGGUUCGAUCCCUGGCCUUGCUCAGUGGGUUAAGCAUCCGGCGUUGCCGUGAGCUGUGGUGUAGGUUGUCACAGAUACGGCUUGGGUCUGGCAUUGCUGUGGCUGUGGUGUAGACUGGCAGCUGCAGCUCCAAUGUGACCUCUAGCCUGGGAACUUCCAGGUGCCACAGGUGGGGCCCUAAAAAGCAAGCAAAUGAAGAAACGUAUAAACAGUCCCUCUCUUUCCAUAGGGUAAGAAGCCAAACCUGACCACGGCCUAGGAUGCUGGCUAGGAGCUGGCCGUCCAACCCCCUCCCCAAGUUCACCUCCAAAGACUCAUCCCUCUGCUUUCUGCCUUCCCACCCACUGGCCUCUCUCCAGCCCUCAGAGGGGGUGAGAUGGCUUUAGACCUUGGUGCUUUUGCAAGUGCGGUUCCUUCUGCCAGGAAUGUUCUUUCUCCCCUCUCUGUCCAGCCCUCUGUGACCCCAGCCCCAGUCUGGAUGAGGUCCCCCAUCAUUAGGCCUCAUGGCACCUUGACUGUCACUAAGUCAAUGAGUGUGUUUUGUCCUUUCUUGCCCCAUCGGAUGCAAGGGCUGGGGCCAAACAGCCUUGUUCUUCGCCCAAUCCCCAGCACCCAGUCAAAGCAGGGAGGGACACGGCUCUCUGCUGAGUGCGUGAAGGGAGGGGUCCUGAGUCUGCAGCACCCCGUGGGUGGGGGCGCCAUAAUGCUAGUUGCCUUUCCUCCUCUCUCCCUCCAUCCAGGGGGUAAGGUCUGGCUUCUAACAUCAGGAGAGCUUCGCAUGCGUCAGACCCUGGGUCCCUCUUGGCUCAGGUUUACUCCCUGCCAAGCCGUUACUCUUCGGGCUGGGUGGACACCGAGUCUGCUGAGAUCCACGGAUCAAAGAUGGAGAGCACAGCUGGCCCCCUGGAAACGAGGCUUUCUGGUCAAUCGAACCAACAAGUGUGAAGUCACAGAGUCACCAGAUGUUCAUUAGACGGAGCCCUGGCAGUCAGCCGCCCCUGCUCCUCCUGUCCCAGCUGUUCCCCUUGGCCAAAGCUGCCACCAGGCCGGCACCCCAAGCUUGGCCAGGGUGCUCCUAAAGCCCUGGGCUUUACGCCAAGGGGACGCCACGUGUUUUCUGAAACCAGUCAGACCACUUUAAGCUUUUGUGACCCUUUCUCCUAGCAUAUAUUCUGGAAACGUAAAGGCAGUCGUCUCCUUCUUAAACAGCAUCUUUGCCCUUUGCUGCCGUUGGUCUUGGUCCCCUUUUCGUGUCAGUUCGUCACAGGCUCAAGUGAACCUGACUUCAGUUUCAUCAGCUGUGGUCCUUGGGAAACUCACCACGGUGGCCCGUGACCUUUAAGGCCCAGGGACCCUUGACUCUCUGGUCUGGAGCCAACACAAGCUCCAACUCCAGCUUAUGUGCAUCCAAACAAGACACCGAGAGGCGGGGGCGAGGGUGCCACCCGAGGGGCCCUGCUUCCACUGGGCGAAAGCGCAAAGCGUCCUGGGCCUGGUCUGACAGCACUUAGGGGUGUGAUAACACCUUUCUGUCAUGGAACCAAAGAUGACAGGCCGUGGGAACACGUCAGAACACACACCCAGGUGACAAGGCGGCGCUGAUCUCCAGCCAUCCUCCCCAACAGGGGAUCGUGUAACUCGGAUUGUGGAAUGUGUUAUUAUACUUCUGUUUCAAUGUGGGUUUGUCUGAGGUCCCGGAGUUCCUUUCAUAGGAGACAACAGGGCUCUCCCAACUCAGGAGAAGCGCUGCUUUCUUACCCACGGCCCCAGGUACCCCACACACCCCAGAAGUCCAUGGUCAGCCCUGCAGAGGCUGAAGAUGCACACAGGCCCAAGGCAGUGACAGAAAUAUGAGGCCACACCAGGCAUGCAAUUAGAUAAACAUAGUCUGGGUGGGAUGGGAGACAUGAGGUUCUGAGCACAAAUGUCUAUUUAAAAAAAAUAUAUUUUUUUGUAUGUGUUUUAGGGCUGCACCUGCAGCAUAUGGAGGUUCCCAGGCUAGGGGUCAAAUCGGUGCUGUAGCCGCUGGCCUAUGCCACAGCAACUCGGGAUCCAAGCCACAUCUGUGACCUACACCACAGCUCACAGCAACGCCGUAUCCUGAACCCACUGAGCGAGGCCCAGGGAUCGAACCUGCGUCCUCAUGGAUGCUAGUCAGAUUUGUUUCCGCUGAGCCACAACAGGAACUCCUUUGAGCACAAAUGUCUAAAUAAGUCUCCUGCAGCACAAUCAGCAGGGGUACAAUGGCUGAGCUGCCCAAGAAACUGCCUUCCCCGAACCCCCAACACACACACACACACACACACACACACACACACACACACACACACACAUCCAUCUGCCCACACACAUAUGCAGGCACCUUAUUCCAUUUCCCUAAUUUCAAAAAUUUUCCAUAAGCUUCUUCAAACCUAUGAUCUAAAUCCUAGAAUGAAUUCAAAGAGUAGAUCUAUACUAUUGAGAGGAGGACAAAUUCGAACGCUCCCAAGAUGCCUCAUAGGCCCCUGAAAUGACUAAAAAGAGAAAUCGCUCAUCAGGGACCCUUGGACGUUUUCGUGUCUGUUCCACCAGCACCUGUGUCUCGACAUCAGGGGACAAGUGCCUUGAUUCUGGUUUCUAGUCUGCUGGUCCCCUAUGGGCACUUGGCUACACUAAGGUGGCAAAGCUACCUGCAGCCUGACCUGUGGACCCGGCCUUUUGGACGCGUUCUCUCUACUGUCUCUUUGGCUGAUUUUGUCAGAGUCUUCCCAGCUCAGUCUCUUGGGCUGCUCCUGUGGGGGUCUCCCCUGUAUGGGGACCUCUUCCCCUUGGUGGGGGCCCAGGGACCCCAGUCCAGCCUUCAGAUCGCAUCCCUACACUGAGGAUGAAGAUGCGUCAGAAUUGGCAAAGGGACUACUUUCUAGCUACAAUGAGGAGGGUGUUUUCAUGGUUCGAGGCUCGUGUUCCCAUAAGACUUGGUGAGCCUCUGGGAUUUGAUGAAAGGACUUCCAGUAGCCACUUCAUCUCCUUAACACCUGACACAGCAUGUUCAGAGCCCCUUUCUCUUUGACAUGAAGUUUAGGCUUGGUCGCUCCUUGCUGAGAUGCAUGUGCCUAAACAUCCCUCAAUACAACCAAAUAAUAACCCAUCGAGUCCUUUAAUUUCUUUAAAAUUGAAUACAUACAAUUAGAAACCAUGGGGUGAUAAUACGGUGCAGGGCAGCUUGUGACACCAGAGGAGGACUCGUUAUUUGAUCCCUUUUUUUUCUUCUUAUGGCCACACCUGUGAUGUAUGGAAGUUUCCAGGGUAGGGGUCGAAUCAGAGGUGUCACCGCUGGCCUGCGCCACAGCCGCAGCCACGGCAGAUCCGAGCCACAUCUGUGACCUAUGCCACAGCUUCCGGCAAUGCUGGAUCCUUAACCCACUGAGCGAGGCCAGGGCUCGAACCUGCAUCCUCAGCAGACACUCUAUCGGGCCCUCAACCCACCAAGCCACAGUAGGAACUCCUGGUCACUUAGUAACUACUUCCUGGGACUCGACUCUAUGCUGGUUCUGUCCCAGGCACUAACUAGAUGCUAAGAUGACAAACACCUGCCUUAUGACACAAUGUCCAGUGGAGAGAUGGAUGCAUAACAAAUACACCUCUCCAAAGGUUUCUGGGAGUGAUGAGCUCAUCAAAGGACACAGAGGGAUGGAAGUAAGUAAUUCGAGUCACUCCGGGUCAUGAGGUUUCAGUCCCUCACCAUUCUGAAGGGCAUACUUCUGUCUUCGAGAAGCUGGAAGGCAGGUUGCAUCUGCUGAGCCCAAAUCCUGCCCUGUUGCUGGCUACUCAGUGUCCUCAGGCAAAUGGCUCAACUCCUCUGAGGCUCAGCCUCCCCGUGUGUAGGCAGGAGAGAAGAGUCCUUCUCUUUGGGUUGUUGCCAUGGACAGGAUGGCAUCCCCCCAAAUUCAUGUGUUAAGGCCUGAGACCCCAUGUGUCUGUAUUGGGAGAUAGAACCUAUAAGGAAGCAAUUAAGGUUCAACGGGGUCAUACAGGUGGGGUCCUGGUCCAACACAAUUAGUGUUAUUAUAAGAAGAGAUGGAGUUGCCUUCAUGGCUCAGUGGUUAACAAACCCAACUAGGAUCCAUGAGGUUGCAGGUUCAAUCUCUGACCUUGCUCAGUGGGUUAAGGAUCCGGUGUUGCUGUGAGCUGUGGUGUAGGUUGCAGAUGUGGCUCGGAUCCUGCGUGGAUGUGGCUGUGGCUGUGGCCAGCAGCUGUAGCUCUGAUUCAACCCCUAGCCUGGGAACUUCCAUAUGCCAAAGGCACAACCCUAAAAAGCAAAAAAAAAAAAAAAA